rnacentral:rRNA from 1 species
UACGUAGGGUGCAAGCGUUGUCCGGAAUUAUUGGGCGUAAAGAGCUUGUAGGCGGUCUGUCGCGUCGGAUGUGAAAACCCAGGGCUCAACCCUGGGCCUGCAUUCGAUACGGGCAGACUAGAGUUCGGUAGGGGAGACUGGAAUUCCUGGUGUAGCGGUGAAAUGCGCAGAUAUCAGGAGGAACACCGGUGGCGAAGGCGGGUCUCUGGGCCGAAACUGACGCUGAGGCACGAAAGCGUGGGGAGCAAACAGG